GACGAACGCUGGCGGCGUGCUUAACACAUGCAAGUCGAGCGGUAAGGCCCUUUCGGGGGUACACGAGCGGCGAACGGGUGAGUAACACGUGGGUGACCUGCCCUCAGCUCUGGGAUAAGCCUGGGAAACCGGGUCUAAUACCGGAUAUGACUCCAUGACGCAUGUUGUGGGGUGGAAAGCCUUGUGCGGCUGAGGAUGGGCCCGCGGCCUAUCAGCUUGUUGGUGGGGUGAUGGCCUACCAAGGCGACGACGGGUAGCCGGCCUGAGAGGGCGACCGGCCACACUGGGACUGAGACACGGCCCAGACUCCUACGGGAGGCAGCAGUGGGGAAUUGUUCACAAUGGGCGCAAGCCUGAUGACGCAACGCCGCGUGGGGAUGAAGGUCUUCGGAUUGUAAACCCCUGUCGAAUGGGACGAAUGAAUCGCGCACUAACACUGCGCGGAAAUGACGGUACCGUUAAAGGAAGCCACGGCUAACUCUGUGCCAGCAGCCGCCGCGGUAAC
rnacentral:rRNA from 1 species